rnacentral:sRNA from 1 species
GUUUUUUUUGUGUUUUGUUCUU